CUUCCGAACCCGAGGCUGUGCAAGGUGCUUUAUUCUUUGAGACACUCUAGCUGUCUUCGCAGUGUCUGUAACAUGUGUUUCAGCCUGUGAAGACUGGAUGCCAUUUGGGGUUCUUUGGGUCACCUGGUCAUCUCUGGGAAGCAGUAGAAGGGAGGAGGACACCAUGAAGCAACUGCCCCAUCAGGCAGGAGGAGCUGCUGGCCAUGGAAAGGAAGAACCACACAUUGUUCACUGUGGCAUAUUCACAGUAUUCAGCUGCAGGCUGCCCCAGAGCAGCAGGUCUGGGAGAUGAACAUAGAGGUGGGAGACA